CAGGAUGCACACACACACACAGCUCCGGGAAUAAGCCUCCUGGAGCUAAAAAGAUGGGAUACAGAAGGCCAGAUGUCACAAGUACUUUCCUGACCACUGUGACAGCAGGAAUUGAGGCUCUCAGACCCUAGGACUGGUCUCCUGCGACAUUUCCUCCUUCACUCUGGACGGCAACAGAGAUCUCAGCCCUCUGGUCGCUCAUGUGCAUACAGCCGAUUUCCAGGCCCAGGAUCAAAGGCAGGAGAGAGCACACAGAGACUGGCCACCCACCCACUACCAACUGCAAGUUGAGGAGCUUUGGGAGUAGUUGGUCCAGAAGGGCCACUGCGCCUAGAAUCUCCUGGGAGGCCGAGCACCCGAAAAGAGGUGCGUAUCCAACGCUUUUCUUUCUGAUCUUCUCCAGGCUUGGCUGGACCCAAUAGGCCUCAGAUCCUGCCCACAGUCUGGGGGCUGGAAAGGCUAAUCUCAAAGGAUUAGAAAUGAGUCAGUUUCCACACUCAGCUUCAGGCGUGUGGCUUCCUGAAGCCCAGACGAGGAAGCUCUGAAUUUCAAAGAGCAAUUUUUUUUUUUUCUUUGCAUACUAUAUCCGGAACUGAAACCACCAAUUCAUUUCACUUAAGAUCUCACACUAUACUCAGAUUAUCAAUAACAUUCCAGAGAUAAGAUACCCAGGCUUCAUGAACCGAGUCUUUCUGUCUUUGUCACUCUCUUUUCUCUGGUACUACUGUUGUUGGUCUCUUCCUUUUCUUUUGUUCAGUCCUGACGACACAGAAUUUCGAGGCCUUUGUGUCCUUUCACAGGUGUUAUGAGGGUCUGUCCCUGCCCAUAGCUUUCUGCUUUCCCUUGCAAGUCAGCUUGACUGGGAGUGAGUUAGGGUCCUAGGCUCCGUGUCUCAUUCCAGGGGGGCAACUGACUUUGUGACUUUGCUGAGAGCUUCCACACAGAGGUCAUCUCACUAACCUGGGAAAGCAGUUAAAAGAUGCAGUGUAUGGAGAGAUAUAAGCAAACUUCAAGAAACAGGAAAUCGAUGGAAGAUGUACACAAUGGCAAUGCCUCCCAAUGUCAACUGAUACAUCAACCUGUUAGGGGGGAAAAAGGAUCUCUACCAUUUACACAGUACCUUUCAAUUUAUAAAUCACUUUCACAUCCUUUUUCUAUCUUCAUUCUCACCAGAACUUGUGAAAUUAGCCAGACAAGCUUUAUCUUCCCCAAUUUAGACAGGAG
ensembl:lncRNA